AUUGAACGCUGGCGGCAGGCCUAACACAUGCAAGUCGAGCGGAGCGGCGGACGGGUGAGUAAUGCCUAGGAAUCAGCCUGGUAGUGGGGGAUAACGUCGGGAGACGGGAGCUAAUACCGCAUACUAUAAGAGCAGCCUAGGGCGGAUUAGCUAGUUGGUGGGGUAGAGGCCUACCACGUCGACGAUCCGUAACUGGUCUGAGAGGAUGAUCAGUCACACUGGAACUGAGACACGGUCCAGACUCCUGCGGGAGGCAGCAGUGGGGAAUAUUGGACAAUGGGCGAAAGCCUGAUCCAGCCAGGCCGCGUGUGUGAAGAAGGUCUUCGGAUUGUAAAGCACUUUAAGUUGGGAGGCGUUACCAACAGAAUAAGCACCGGCUAACUUCGUGCCAGCAGCCGCGGUAAUAC
rnacentral:rRNA from 1 species